GGGCUCUUGGUCCAGUGGUAAGACGCUCGCAUCAGAAUCUACAAAGCCGUCAUCUGUUGUCCUUCGGGCUGGCAAUGUCGGCAGGGCUCCCUGUUGCCCUGCAGUUCAUGCGAGAGACCCACGUUCGAUUUGUGGAGAACUCA